rnacentral:rRNA from 1 species
UACAGAGGGGGCAAGCGUUGUUCGGAAUUACUGGGCGUAAAGGGCGUGUAGGCGGGAAGGAUAGUCAGAUGUGAAAGCCCUGGGCUCAACCCAGGAACUGCAUUUGAAACUCCCUUUCUUGAGUGUCGGAGAGGAAAGCGGAAUUCCUGGUGUAGAGGUGAAAUUCGUAGAUAUCAGGAGGAACACCGGUGGCGAAGGCGGCUUUCUGGACGACAACUGACGCUGAGACGCGAAAGCGUGGGGAGCAAACAGG